rnacentral:tRNA from 1 species
GCGGAUGUGGCGGAAUGGCAGACGCGCUGGUCUUAGGAACCAGUAUCUUGUAUGUGGGGGUUCAAGUCCCUUCAUCCGCACCA